rnacentral:rRNA from 1 species
CUCGAUCUUCAGAGUAUCAUUGGAGGGCAAGUCUGGUGCCAGCAGCCGCGGUAAUUCCAGCUCCAAUAGCGUAUAUUAAAAUUGUUGCAGUUAAAAAGCUCGUAGUUGAAUUUCUGCUGCAUCGUCGCAUCUCUUGCUGAGUGCUUCGUUUCGGCUUAUUUCGGAUUGAUUUUUUCUUUCCGGAUGAUUACUUUGAGAAAAUUAGAGUGCUCAAAGCAGGCUUUUGCCUUGAAUAGUUUAGCAUGGAAUAAUAAAGUAGGACUUUGGUUCUAUUUUGUUGGUUUUAGGUACCAAAGUAAUGGUUAAUAGGAACAGUUGGGGGCAUUCGUAUUUAACUGUCAGAGGUGAAAUUCUUAGAUUUGUUAAAGACGAACUACUGCGAAAGCAUUUGCCAAGGAUGUUUUCAUUAAUCAAGAACGAAAGUUAGGGGAUCGAAGACGAUCAGAUACCGUCGUAGUCCUACC